UACGUAGGGUGCAAGCGUUGUCCGGAAUUAUUGGGCGUAAAGAGCUCGUAGGCGGUCUGUCGCGUCGGCUGUGAAAACCCGGAGCUCAACUCCGGGCCUGCAGUCGAUACGGGCAAACUGGAGUGUUGCAGGGGAGACUGGAAUUCCUGGUGUAGCGGUGAAAUGCGCAGAUAUCAGGAGGAACACCGGUGGCGAAGGCAGGUCUCUGGGCCGAUACUGACGCUGAGGAGCGAAAGCGUGGGGAGCGAACAGG
rnacentral:rRNA from 1 species